UACAGAGGGUGCAAGCGUUAAUCGGAUUUACUGGGCGUAAAGCGUGUGUAGGUGGCUUCCUAAGUCGGUUGUGAAAUCCCUGGGCUCAACCUGGGAAUUGCAGUCGAUACUGGGAAGCUAGAGUUCGGUAGAGGACGGCGGAAUUCCCGGUGUAGCGGUGAAAUGCGUAGAUAUCGGGAGGAACAUCGAUGGCGAAAGCAGCUCGCUGGGACGUUACUGACGCUGAGACGCGAAAGCGUGGGGAGCAAACAGG
rnacentral:rRNA from 1 species